rfam:Mesocricetus auratus contig197880, whole genome shotgun sequence.
UGGCUCAGUGGUUAAGAGCACUGACUGCUCUUUCAGAGGACCUGGGUUCAAUUCCCAG